UACGAAGGGGGCUAGCGUUGCUCGGAAUUACUGGGCGUAAAGCGCACGUAGGCGGACAUUUAAGUCAGGGGUGAAAUCCCAGAGCUCAACUCUGGAACUGCCUUUGAUACUGGGUGUCUUGAGUAUGGAAGAGGUGAGUGGAAUUCCGAGUGUAGAGGUGAAAUUCGUAGAUAUUCGGAGGAACACCAGUGGCGAAGGCGGCUCACUGGUCCAUUACUGACGCUGAGGUGCGAAAGCGUGGGGAGCAAACAGG
rnacentral:rRNA from 1 species